GCUGCUAACAAGCGUUUGACCGGAGAUAUCCGAAUGGGGAACCAGCAGGUUAGUACCUGCUAGCUACCUGGUGAAUCCAUAACCAGGCGGCAGCCAAGUCAGGGAACUGAAACAUCUAAGUACCUGAACGAAAGUAAAAUCAAAAAGAGACUCCCCCUAGUAGUGGCGAGCGAACGGGGACGAGCCUAAACCUCUUCAGUGCAAGCAUGCUGGCGUUGCUGAAGUGGGGUCGUGGGAUUCUGUAGAGAGGUCGGCAUACCUCUCGUCGAGUUACAAAGGACCGAGCUAGCCGAACGGUAUUGGACGGCCGGCCACAGCGGGUGAUAGCCCCGUAGGCGAAAGCGAGGUCUCUCGAUCAGAACACCCGAGUACCGCAGGACACGUGUAAUCCGGCGGGAAUCUGGGAGGACCAUCUUCCAAGGCUAAGUACUACUGAUCGACCGAUAGUGAACUAGUACCGCGAGGGAAAGGUGAAAAGAACCCCGGUUAGGGGAGUGAAAUAGUACCUGAAACCGUGUGCCUACAAGCAGUGG
rnacentral:rRNA from 1 species